rnacentral:rRNA from 1 species
AUUGAACUCUGGCGACAUGCUUUACACAUGCAAGUCGCACGGUAACAGGGCGCUUUCUGCGCUGACGUGUGGCGCACGGGUGAGUAAUGCGGCGGAGCGUGCCGAGUAGGGGGGGAUAACGCCGCGAAGGGUGUUCUAAUACCGCAUACGUAGUGGGGGAGAAAGGGGGGGACCUUCGCGCCUCGCGAUAUUCGCGCGGCCCACGUCUGAUUAGCUAGUUGGUGAGGUAAAGGCUCACCAAGGCGACGAUCAGUAGCGGGUCUGAGAGGAUGAUCCGCCACACUGGGACUGAGACACGGCCCAGACUCCUACGGGAGGCAGCAGUGGGGAAUUUUGGACAAUGGGCGCAAGCCUGAUCCAGCCAUGCCGCGUGUCUGAAGAAGGCCUUCGGGUUGUAAAGGACUUUUGUCCGGGAGCAAAUGCCUGGUGUUAAUAGCACUGGGAGCUGAGGGUACCGGAAGAAUAAGCACCGGCUAACUACGUGCCAGCCGCCGCCGUAACAC